AUGAACGCUGGCGGCGUGCCUAAUACAUGCAAGUCGAGCGCACAGACGAGGAGCUUGCUCCUCUGACGUUAGCGGCGGACGGGUGAGUAACACGUGGAUAACCUACCUAUAAGACUGGGAUAACUUCGGGAAACCGGAGCUAAUACCGGAUAAUAUAUUGAACCGCAUGGUUCAAUAGUGAAAGACGGUUUUGCUGUCACUUAUAGAUGGAUCCGCGCCGCAUUAGCUAGUUGGUAAGGUAACGGCUUACCAAGGCAACGAUGCGUAGCCGACCUGAGAGGGUGAUCGGCCACACUGGAACUGAGACACGGUCCAGACUCCUACGGGAGGCAGCAGUAGGGAAUCUUCCGCAAUGGGCGAAAGCCUGACGGAGCAACGCCGUGUGAGUGAUGAAGGUCUUCGGAUCGUAAAACUCUGUUAUUAGGGAAGAACAAAUGUGUAAGUAACUAUGCACGUCUUGACGGUACCUAAUCAGAAAGCCACGGCUAACUACGUG
rnacentral:rRNA from 1 species